rfam:Dipodomys ordii contig_1171, whole genome shotgun sequence.
GGGAAGGUGGCACAGUGGUAGAGUGCUUGCCUUACAUGCAAGAGGCCCUGGGUUCGAUUCCUCAGCACCCCA